UUAUGUGAUCGUCUCUCGCAUAUCAAUAAGCGGAGGAAAAGAAACUAACAAGGAUUCCCCUAGUAACGGCGAGUGAAGCGGGAAGAGCUCAAAUUUGAAAUCUUAAAGGGUUUCCCUUUACGAAUUGUAGUUUAAAGAAGUGUUUUCUGUUGAGGUUUUGGUAAAAGUUCUUUGGAAUAGGACAUCAUAGAGGGUGAGAAUCCCGUAUUUGACCUUUACUUUCAACUUUGUGAUACACUUUCAAAGAGUCGGAUUGUUUGGGAAUGCAGUCCAAAAUGGGUGGUAAAUUUCAUCUAAAGCUAAAUAUUGGCGAGAGACCGAUAGCGAACAAGUACCGUGAGGGAAAGAUGAAAAGAACUUUGAAAAGAGAGUUAAACAGUACGUGAAAUUGUCAAAAGGGAAGCGUUUGACACCAGUGUUGUUUUUCUGAAAAUCAAUUAAAGAACUGUUUAUGCUAAGUUGUUUAGACUUUAUCAGCUAACUGUUUAGUUUUGAGCUUUUCUUUAAUGCACUUUUCAGUUAACAAGUCAACAUCAAUUUCUUUUGCUGUAAAAAAGCUUGAGGAAGGUGGCAUUGAGAUUCGUCUUAAGUGUUUAUAGCCUCUUGCCUAUGCAGUCGGAGAGAUUGAGGUCUGCAGCGUAGAUCCUUCGGGGCUAAAUGCAUUUGUGCUAAGUUAUAGCAUUUUAUAGACAACUUGUUGACUAUGAUUUGUCUUGUAGCUUACUCGCUUAUGUUAUUUUACCUACGCUUAGGAUGUUGACACACGCGCGUGCUCG
rnacentral:rRNA from 1 species